CGCGCGAGGAAGGAGAUGAGGGAACACGUGGGUACCUACCUAUAAGACUGGGAUAACUUUCGGGAAACCGGAGCUAAUACCGGAUAACAUUUGGAACCGCAUGGUUCUAAAGUGAAAGAUGGUUUUGCUAUCACUUAUAGAUGGACCCGCGCCGUAUUAGCUAGUUGGUAAGGUAACGGCUUACCAAGGCGACGAUACGUAGCCGACCUGAGAGGGUGAUCGGCCACACUGGAACUGAGACACGGUCCAGACUCCUACGGGAGGCAGCAGUAGGGAAUCUUCCGCAAUGGGCGAAAGCCUGACGGAGCAACGCCGCGUGAGUGAUGAAGGGUUUCGGCUCGUAAAACUCUGUUAUUAGGGAAGAACAAACGUGUAAGUAACUGUGCACGUCUUGACGGUACCUAAUCAGAAAGCCACGGCUAACUACGUGCCAGCAGCCGCGGUAAUACGUAGGUGGCAAGCGUUAUCCGGAAUUAUUGGGCGUAAAGCGCGCGUAGGCGGUUUCUUAAGUCUGAUGUGAAAGCCCACGGCUCAACCGUGGAGGGUCAUUGGAAACUGGGAAACUUGAGUGCAGAAGAGGAAAGUGGAAUUCCAUGUGUAGCGGUGAAAUGCGCAGAGAUAUGGAGGAACACCAGUGGCGAAGGCGACUUUCUGGUCUGUAACUGACGCUGAUGUGCGAAAGCGUGGGGAUCAAACAGGAUUAGAUACCCUGGUAGUCACGCCGUAACGAUGAGUGCUAAGUGUUAGGGGGUUUCCGCCCCUUAGUGCUGCAGCUACGCAUUAAGCAC
rnacentral:rRNA from 1 species